rnacentral:lncRNA from 1 species
AACUUUCGUUAUAAAUUCAUAACUUCUUCGUUUGACGUCCGUUCUCGCCUAACUUUUUAUCGCUUCGAUACCAACAAUGAGAUCUUCGAUUCUCAUUUAGAUUGCUUCGGCUAACAACCGCUCGAUCUCAAAUCGAGUAUAACAGGCUGUAUACCGCUAAGCCGGAACUUCGAUAAAUCAUAACUUCCUCAUACGAAGUCAGAUUUGGGCGUUCUAUAUAUAUUCGGAAACCUCGUUUCAACUACUACAACAUUAACCAAAGAUAUUAAGUUUAUUUUACACUUAAAUUUUGACGCUUAUUUUUAUUCUUAAUUAAUCAAACCACAUAAUUAAGCAAUUAAGCACAAAACACAUAAUACUCAAAUAAUACAAUCUUAUUAUUUCAAAACGGGUUACAAAGGUUAACCUAGACUAUUAUAUUGCUAAAAAUGGCAAGCCCGGAAACACAGGCGUUACAAUUCUCUCCACCUUAGAAUGAUUCCGUCCCCGGAAUCACACAUCAACAAACAAAUGCGGAUAGCGACUCAACAUGUCACUCUCCGUCUCCCAGGUGAGAUUCGGCCCAUUCGUGUGUUUCCAUCGGACAAGCACUAACCCAACCAUUUUGCGUCGCAACUUCUUAGUCUUUCGGUCAACAAUUGCCUCUGGUUCUUCAAUCAACCUUUUGUUCUCAUCAAUUCUCAAUUCAGAAAUUGGAAUUAUAUCGGGAACUUCUCCCGUGAACUUCCUCAAAUAACACACAUGAAAGGUGUUGUGAAUUCCAUUCAGUUCUUCGGGUAAUUCGAGCUUGUAAGCUUGGUUCCCAAUCCUCUGAAGGACUUUAAACGGUCCAAUAAACCUUGGACUCAACUUUCCCCUUUUACCAAAUCUUAUAAGUCCCUUCCACGGCGAGACUUUAAGCAAAACCGAAUCUCCAACCUCAAAAGUCAUCGGUCUUCGCUUCUUGUCAGCAUAGCUCUUUUGACGAUCUUGAGCUGCUAACAUUCUUUCCCUAAUUAUUUUCAACUUUUCAGCAGUUUGAUGAACCAUCUCCGGUCCCAUAAACUGCUUUUCCCCAGCCUCAAGCCAACAAGACGGCGUACGACACUUCUGUCCAUACAAAGCUUGAUAAGGUGCCAUCUUAAUGCUCGAGUGAAAACUAUUAUUAUAGGAAAAUUCUACCAACGGUAAAUGUUCAUCCCAAUUACCUAGGAAUUCCAAGGUACAUGCUCUCAGCAUAUCUUCAAGUGUUUGUAUUGUUCUUUCACUCUGACCAUCAGUCUGCGGAUGGUAAGCUGUGCUUAAACAUAACUUGGUACCCAUUUCCUCUUGUAGACUUUUCCAAAACCUUGAGGUGAAACGGCUAUCACGAUCCGAUACAAUCGUUAACGGAACACCGUGAAGCCUCACAAUUUCCUUCACGUAAGAAUUCGCAAGCUUUUCCAUAGACCAUUUCUCCCUGGCCGCUAUGAAAUGCGCACUCUUAGUGAAUCGAUCAACGACCACCCAAAUCAUGUCGUGACCAUUCUUUGUUCUGGGCAGUUUAGUGACAAAAUCCAUAGCAAUGUCUUCCCACUUACCCAUAGGCACAGGCAAAGGUUCUAAACUCCCGUACGGUUUCUGAUGUUGUGUCUUGACUCUCGCACAAGUCACACACUCGGCCACAUACUUUGCAACAUCAAGCUUCAUCGUCGGCCACCAGUAGUAGGGUUUCAGGUCCCUAUACAUUUUAGUGCUACCCGGAUGAAUCGAGUACAUGGUCUUGUGAGCUUCUUCCAUCAGAAGAUCUCUAAUUCCUCCUGACUUAGGUACCCAAAUACGAUCUUGGAAUACCUUCAGUCCAUGACCGUUAGUACCAAACACCAACGUUUUACCCAAACGUUCCUCCUUUCGGUCAUUUUUCUCAGAAGCUUCCUCUUGAGCUUUCUUUAUACUUUCCACAAUGGUCGAGACAACUUCAAUUCUCAACGCUCUUGGCCUCUUCCUUUCAAGAUUGACCUUCCGACUGAGAGCAUCAGCAACAACAUUAGCUUUACCGGGGUGGUAAAGUAUCUCGCAGUCGUAGUCUUUAAGUAAUUCUAGCCAGCGUCGUUGCCUCAUAUUCAAUUCUUUCUGAUUAAAGAGGUAUUGGAGACUCUUAUGAUCAGUGAAAAGUUUGCACUUCGUGCCAUAGAGGUAAUGCCUCCAUAUUUUCAGAGCGAAAACUACCGCUGCCAACUCCAAAUCAUGAGUCGGGUAAUUCUUUUCAUGCUCUUUCAGCUGUCGAGACGCAUAUGCUAUCACCUUUUCUCUUUGGGUCAAAACACAACCCAAUCCAACACCAGACGCAUCGCUAUAAACAGCGAAGUCUUCAACUCCAUCGGGUAGAGAAAGUAUCGGUGCCUCGCAUAGCUUCUUCUUUAACUUCUCGAAUGCUUCUUUAUGCUUCUCACUCCAAGCAUAAGUAGCUCCUUUGUGGGUCAAAGCUGUUAAUGGAGUAGCAAUCGAAGAAAAGCCUUGGAUAAACCUUCGGUAAUAUCCGGCUAAUCCUAAAAAGCUUCGAAUCUCCGUGGGACUUUUCGGUUGUUCCCACUUCGUCACAGCUUCGAUCUUCGCUGGAUCAACCAUUAUCCCUUCUUGGUUGACCACGUGACCCAAGAAUUGGACUUCACGAAUCCAAAAAUCACAUUUGGAGAACUUCGCAUAAAGCUUCUCCUUCUUCAAAACUUCUAACACUUCUCGCAAGUGUCUGCCAUGCUCCUCCUGGCUUUUCGAGUAGAUCAGAAUGUCGUCUAUGAACACUAUCACGGAUUUAUCAAGGAAAGGAUUACAAACCCUAUUCAUCAAAUCCAUGAACGCUGCUGGAGCAUUGGUUAGUCCAAACGACAUAACCAAGAACUCGUAGUGUCCAUAUCUAGUUCUGAAUGCAGUCUUCUCGAUAUCUUGCUCUCUUACUUUCAGCUGAUGAUAUCCUGACCUAAGAUCGAUCUUCGAGAAAUAGCUCGAACCUUGCAAUUGAUCAAACAGGUCAUCAAUCCUCGGCAACGGAUAUCUAUUCUUUAUUGUUGCCUUGUUCAGCUCUCUGUAAUCGAUGCACAUUCUCAUACUUCCAUCUUUCUUCUUUACAAAUAACACCGGAGCUCCCCAGGGCGAUGAACUAGGUCUAAUGAAACCUUUGUCCAAUAACUCCUGAAGUUGCAUCAUUAGCUCCUUCAUCUCCGUCGGUGCUAAUCGAUAAGGUGCUUUUGCUAUUGGCGUGGUUCCUGGUAACAAGUCUAUUCUGAACUCCACUUGUCUAUCAGGUGGUAAUCCAGGAAGAUCCUCGGGAAAUACUUCCGGAUAAUCACACACCACUGGAAUGCUCUGCAUCACCUUCUUUUCUUUCUUAGCAUCAAUCACGAAUGCUAAAUAUGAUGUACAUCCCUUGGUCAAACACUUUCUGGCUUUCAUUAGAGAAAUGAUUCCAGAAUUCACUCUGCGUUUGUCCCCAUACACCAUAAACGAAUCUUUUCCAGGCGGGUUUACUUUAACUAUCUUCUUCUUGCACAAAAUUUCGGCAUCAUUGGCGCUAAGCCAAUCCAUUCCCAAGACGAUGUCGAAACCAUUUAGUUCGAUAGGCAAUAAUUCCUCGAGAAACUUAUUCCCAUUAAGGUCGAUCAAGACGUUUUUCAUACGAUGGCUAACAGGUACAAACUUGCCACUAGCUACUUCGACUAAUAAAGCAUUAUUUAGUCUAUCAACAGGCAAAGCUAGCUUUCUACCAAACUCAUGCGAAAUAAAGGAGUAGUUGGCUCCAGAAUCAAACAAUAUAUGAGCAGGUAAUUCGUUUACGAGAAAGGUACCUGAAGCGACAUCAGCUUCAUCUUUCGCAGCCUCAAGUGUCAUCUGGAAGGCUCUCGCCUUCGGCUUUGGUGGAAUGUUGGGCCUAGCUGCCUCCUUCUUCUUCGGACAGUCUUUCAAAAUAUGCCCCUCUUCAUUACAACCAAAACACAUCCUUUUGUUGUUCGGACAUUCAUUGGCAAAAUGUCCAACCUUUCCACACUUGUAGCAGGUCACAUCCUCGCUACAUUUCCCAAAGUGCUUUUUCUUACACUUAUCACACCACUUUGCUUCGCCUCCUUUUCCUCCAAACUUUUUCGAAUCAGAUUUCGAAAAUUUGCUCUUCUUACUGGAACCAGAUGUUCCUUCAAACUUCCUUUUCUCACCAACCUCAACCUUGACGGUGGUUCUCCCCUUGAUCAUGUUCUCCACAGACUUGGCAGCCCAGAUAGCUGCCUCUAGAGUAAGUGCCUGACGUACCGGCACCUCGUACUCCCAUGGAAGUCCCUUCGCAUACCGAUCCACCUUUGUCAGCUCGUCUGGAACGAUACGCAAGGCAAACUCCAUCUUAUCGGUGAAGUUAUUGGUGUAUUCAUCAACUGACAUGCUACCCUUCGUCAAUGUCAAAAACUUAUUCUCCAACUCCAACAGAUUUUGAGCCGAGCAGAACUUGCGCUUGAACUGCACCAAGAACUCUGCCCAUGACAAUUGCAGUGGCUCAUUAGGGCUUAAGGUCUUCCCUAGAGUGUUCCACCAACGAACGGCUCCACCUCGGAAUUGUCGCACGGCAUAGAUAGUCUGCAACUUACCUCUGCAGCCACAUGUCAUAAAGGCUAACUCCAUUUCGGAGAUCCAAUCCAUAACCCCAAUCGGAUCCUCCUUUCCAUUGAAGGUCGAUGGUUUGCAAGUCAAAAAGUCCUUGUACUUGCAUCCCAUUCCAUCAUUCCUUCCUUCAUGGUUAUCUUGCCUAACUAUCGGUGGGUUGGCUGGACCAACAGACCCACUGAAGUUUCCACCUUCCGAGUGCCCUUCAUUUAAUUCAGGCUCUUCCACACGAAUCGACAGUUCUUCACGAUUUUGUUGAAGCAACCGUCUAGUUUCAUCCAUCUGACGAUCCAACAUCGUCUGAAUCAUCAAUUGCACACCAGCCAUGGUUAUUGGCUCAGGUGCUGCUGCUACGACAGGUAUUGGCUCAAUCACUGGUGGUUGAUUCCUGUUUUCGUCAGCAUUUCCAACUCCACUUCUUGUUCUCACCAUUUUGAUCUACACCCCGAAUAAGGUGAAAUUAGAUCCUCAAUCAUGAUAGAUAUUCAAAUCAUCCUUAUCACUCCGAAACGUUUACAUGCUAGUUCUAAUAUCGUAGACGUACGCUUAGAAUCCUACACACAUAAGGUUUCUAGAUCCGGUCGGCAACAGACCAUAGAUCCGAACAAAUAAUAUCAUAUAUGGCAACAUAUAACAUUUAGCACAUAAAGCAUUUUAGGCAACUUUCCUAAAAUAAACUAGUGCUCGUGUCUAAAACACAACAGACACACAUCUCAAAACUUCACUUAGCAUUCUAAGUUUAAGUCUAGAAAUCCUACAAAUUCCUAGUUCGCUUAAACUAAUGCUCUGAUACCAACUGUGACAUCCCCAAAAUCUCGGCCAGAAAAGACCGAUUUUCAUUUAUGCUUUUAAAUAUUUUCAGAGUAAAUCCUUUUGAUUUGAAAGAGUUGCGGAAUUUGUUCCCAAAAACAAAACAUGAUAAAACAUUGUUUACCGAAGCAUUUCAUAAAAGAAAUGUAUUUUCAUUAUAAUCAAAACUCGGGGUGUCAUGUUCCGAUACAGACCAAUAAGCAUAAACGAAUACAUUACAAGUCAUAUAACAAAUAUAAACAUAUGCAGACUUGUAAACAAAACAACUUGAUGGUUCAUCCAUCUCAUGCCCUUCCGCCACUACCUGUAAUACAAUUUAAAACUGAGUGGGUCAGGCUUGGGAGCCUGGUGAGCAUAUAGGGUUUUCAACCCACAAUAAAUAUCAUAUUUAAUUUUCACCAACCAACAAUAACCCAAUUACCCAUUCCCGUUAUUCUCACUUUAAUGUCCCUAAAACAACUAACAUAAGGGACCUAGUCUAAGAAUAUUUCAUCGGGGCGACAACACAUGCUUCGGGGGUACCUCAGCAAUAUAAGUCAAAUAAGGCAACCAUGAGGGGGAUGGAGUACAGCGAAUGAACACCCAAGUUCAUUAACACCUACAGGUGGCGAACCUGCUAAUGUUUCCACAAGACUGUCUAGAAUAGCCAGUGGUCGUCAUCUAAACUCCGCUAGAUGACUCAAUCAAACAACAACGAGGCCUCUCAUCUGUUUAUUACACACCAACUGUCUACCCAUGUUCUACCCAACAUAUUAGUAGAUAAAAAUAUACAUUUGUAUACAUAGUUUAAAGAAAACCUGUAUAGCAUGCUUUAAUCAACACAUAUAUCACAUAACAGAUGAGGCACACACACACAUAACACAUAUCUCAUAAAGAAAUAAGCAGAUCUAUAAGAUAGAAGAGAGUGAAUACUCAUUCACACAUAACACAACCAAAUAUAUACACAUAGCACGUAUUUUUAUAUAAAAUACUUCGUAUUAUUGUAUUAGAAGAAAUAACUACACACUCACUUGAUCAGAAGAUGAUCGGACAGCACUACGGCUUAUAGAAGUAGUAAUCCACAGCAGAUCUGGAAGAUCUUCUCGAAAAUCGAACUUCUCGCGGGCAGAGCUUCGACUCGGGAACCGCACUUUUCGGGAUCUUCGGGAUCUCGGGACUUGCCUCGGGGCUAGAGUAUGAUACCGGGACUUCGGGGUAGCUUCGGGGGUUUUUGCACAGAGCUUCGACACGAAAACGAGAGGGAAUUGGCAAAAAUACCCGGAACCCUCGCAUCCUAUUUAUAGGAGGCUGGAGCCUCGGAGUACGCGGGGCGUACUGCGUUACGCGGGGCGUACUGCCCAAAACGUCAUUGCUUACGUAUCCGAAGUGCUCGAGUGCGAGUGUCGACAUCCCUCGGAGUACGCGGGGCGUACUCGAGUACGCGGGGCGUACCUCGGAUCAGAUCGGUGACUCCUUCGGAUAAUGCUUCCGAAUUUUGAUUUAAAUAUAAAUACAAAAUGAUUAAUAAACUUCGGAAAUUCAUAACUUCUUCAUACGAACUCCGUUUUCGACGUUCUUUAUAUCCACGGAAAGGUGAGACCAUGCUCUACGACUUUCGUUUAGACUCCGUCGGCUAAUUUUGACUUUAUUUUUAUUAAUUAUUUUUAAUAGGCCGCGACAGAAACUUUCGUUAUAAAUUCAUAACUUCUUCGUUUGACGUCCGUUCUCGCCUAACUUUUUAUCGUUUCAAUACCAACAAUGAGAUCUUCGAUUCUCAUUUAGAUUGCUUCGGCUAACAACCGCUCGAUCUCAAAUCGAGUAAAACAGGCUGUAUACCGCUAAGACGGAACUUCGAUAAAUCAUAACUUCCUCAUACGAAGUCAGAUUUGGGCGUUCUAUAUAUAUUCGGAAACCUCGUUUCGACUACUACAACAUUAACCAAAGAUAUUAAGUUUAUUUUACACUUAAAAUUUGACGCUUAUUUUUAUUCUUAAUUAAUCAGACCACAUAAUUAAGCAAUUAAGCACAAAACACAUAAUACUCAAAUAAUACAUUCUUAUUAUUUCAAAACGGGUUACAAAGGUUAACCUAGACUAUUAUAUUGCUAAAUAUGGCAAGCCCGGAAACACAGGCGUUACAAUUCUCUCCACCUUAGAAUGAUUCCGUCCCCGGAAUCACACAUCAACAAACAAAUGCGGAUAGCGACCCAUCAUGUCACUCUCCGUCUCCCAGGUGAGAUUUGGCCCAUUCGUGUGUUUCCAUCGGACAAGCACUAACCCGUUUUGAAACAGUUAAAGUUUGUUUUUGAAAAGACCG